rnacentral:snoRNA from 1 species
AACCCAUAAUUGGGACAUUUCCUCAACAACACCUAGAAACGCUCCCAUGCCUCAUAAAAAGCCUCCUCAACACCUUGUCUGAAGGUAGAGAUUUCAAACUUAGAAU